rnacentral:lncRNA from 1 species
AAAAUGAGAGAAAGGAAGAAGAAAAUCAAGUAAAGAAGAAUGGUCAAAACCUUAAAAAAAAUGUUUAUUUUAUAUUACUUAUAUGUUGGGUCCAGCUGCCUUCCACCCGCUGGAAGGUACGGCUUAUUUUGUCCUCUUGUGUUGUGGCCGUUGGAUAUUUGAGAAGUUGAUCUAACAACUCUUGUUCGGCAGCGUGAAAUUGAAUUUCAAUUGGCAACCGUUUCAUGAACUUUGCAAGAGACAAUUAUCUACAAAAAUACAAAAAAAAAAAACUAAUUUUUCACUUUCAUCGGCCGCCACUGCCACCCACAACCCCUUAAUAUCAUCAUCAGCAUUUCAAUCCUUAGCCACCAUCUAAAAGCUCUAACAACCACCAUGACUGCCGUCACAACCACCACUCCUCGCAACCCCUAGCCACCGCUACAAACAUUCACAAACUCUAACCAUCAUUAUCAGUUCACUAGCCUUAUCCUCCAUUGUCGCUGCCUACCAAUCAUCCACAACACCUAACCACCAUCACCAACAAACCUUAGCCACCGCCUCCUAUAAGCAAGCCUCACCACCCACCACCGCACACGCACAAUGCCACACCAACUGCCAUACUAUUGCGACAGAGGCCACAAUGUAGACAAGAUCCAGCAAGGAGGGAUGUUUUCCUUCUCCGGCAGAUUAUUCUUUUUUGUCUUUUUUUGUUUUUUAAUUAUAUUACUUUAGUUAUUUUUAGUUUUUCUCUUAUUUUGUCUAUAUUUUGGUUGUUAGAUUGUUUUUGUUGUUGUUGCUGGCGGCGAUGGAGUUGCAGCUCGUGAUGAUGAUGCUGAUGUUGGUGUCAUUUUAAUUAAGAUUUUGUUCCUUUUUUACUAGCUACAUCAGUCAUCUUCAUUCAUUACGUGUCCUUUUCUAACAUGUUAGAUUUUACUACUUUUUAAUCGAAGGGUUAGACCACAACGAGACAAAAGAAUGGGUACCUUCCAACAGUUGGAAGGUAGUUUCAGCCUACUUAUAUAUAUUUUAAUUUUUAAGAAAAUGAAAAUAUUACACAUACUUUGUAGUCA